AAAUGAUCCAACUAAUUGGUUCAUUGGAUGAACUCAAUUCAGUUAUGGGCAGGAUUUCCAUCUAAUAAAUAUAUGUUGUGCCAACUAAAUUACAUUAGCUUGCAUGAGUGCAAUUUACUGUAUUUGAGUUGGGGCUACAUAUAUUUAUUAUAUGGAAA